UCUUCCAAAUGAAACACGAGCCUCUUUUUCUCUCCGUGGAUAUGGAUAUGCAUAUGGUAGCACGAGCUACUUCAUCUCUCCGUGGCUGCUACUUCUGCUUCUUCCGCCGCUGCCGCUGCCGCCGUUGCCGCUGUCACCGUUGUGUCGCACAAUCUCUCUCUCUAUCAUCCCUUGCGUCGCACGAGAUCCCUCCGCCGCCGCUCUCGUCGCAUCUACUCCCAUCGUCGCAGAGCUCUCUCUGCCGCUGCUCUCAUCGCAUCUGCUCCCUCUGGCUCCUCUUCCAUCUAAUCUCAACUCGCUCUCUCAGUUCUUCUCGUAACCAUCUCAAAUUUCAGGUUCACUCUGAUUUUGAUGAAUUAUUUUCUGCAAUCGAAGCUUUUUUGACCUAAAAUUCAUGGUUUUCUCUGAAGAAAGGUGGAAGGGAUGGUGAUGAUGGUACUGAAGAUGGGUGGAAGGAAGGGAAGUUAU